GGGGAAUAUUGGACCAUGGGCGCAAGCCUGAUCCAGCCAUGCCGCGUGGGUGAAGAAGGCCUUCGGGUUGUAAAGCCCUUUUGUUGGGAAAGAAAAGCAGCCGGCCAAUACCCGGUUGUUCUGACGGUACCCAAAGAAUAAGCAUCGGCUAACUCCGUGCCAGCAGCCGCGGUAAUACGGAGGAUGCGAGCGUUAUCCGGAUUUAUUGGGUUUAAAGGGUGCGCAGGCGGGCUUUUAAGUCAGCGGUGAAAUCUGGACGCUUAACGUCCAAACUGCCGUUGAAACUGGGAGUCUUGAGUAUGGAUGAAGUAGGCGGAAUUCGUUGUGUAGCGGUGACAUGCAUAGAUAUAACGAGGAACUCCGAUUGCGUAGGCAGCUUACUAAGCCAUAACUGACGCUCAUGCACGAAAGCGUGGGGAUCAAACA
rnacentral:rRNA from 1 species